AGAGCGAACGCUGGCGGCAGGCUUAAUACAUGCAAGUCGAGCGCUCGUCGCAAGACGGGAGCGGCAGACGGGUGAGUAACACGUGGGAACAUGCCCUUCGGUUCGGAAUAACUCAGGGAAACUUGAGCUAAUACCGGAUACGCCCUUACGGGGAAAGAUUGAUCGCCGAAGGAUUGGCCCGCGUCCGAUUAGCUAGUUGGUGAGGUAAUGGCUCACCAAGGCGACGAUCGGUAGCUGGUCUGAGAGGAUGAUCAGCCACACUGGGACUGAGACACGGCCCAGACCUCCUACGGGAGCAGCGAGUAGGGAAUAUGGACAAGUGGGACGAAAGCCUGAUCCAGCCAUGCCGCGUGGGUGAGUGAACGGCCCGUAAGGUUCGGUAAACGGUCCCGUUUCGGGACGGGGAAGAGUAA
rnacentral:rRNA from 1 species